rnacentral:siRNA from 1 species
UAAUAUCUAUUCAGGCCAAUAACC